rnacentral:rRNA from 1 species
UCUAAGUUUGAUGGCGACCGGCGCACGGGUGAGUAACACGUAUCCAACCUGCCGAUGACUCGGGGAUAGCCUUUCGAAAGAAAGAUUAAUACCCGAUGACAUAGUUCUUCCGCAUGGUGGAACUAUUAAAGAAUUUCGGUCAUCGAUGGGGAUGCGUUCCAUUAGGUUGUUGGCGGGGUAACGGCCCACCAAGCCUUCGAUGGAUAGGGGUUCUGAGAGGAAGGUCCCCCACAUUGGAACUGAGACACGGUCCAAACUCCUACGGGAGGCAGCAUG